AUACGUAGGGGGCGAGCGUUGUCCGGAAUGAUUGGGCGUAAAGGGCGCGUAGGCGGCCCGGUAAGUCUGGAGUGAAAGUCCUGUUUUUAAGAUGGGAAUUGCUUUGGAUACUGUCGGGCUUGAGUGCAGGAGAGGUAAGUGGAAUUCCCAGUGUAGCGGUGAAAUGCGUAGAGAUUGGGAGGAACACCAGUGGCGAAGGCGACUUACUGGACUGUAACGGACGCUGAGGCGCGAAAGUGUGGGGAGCAAACAGGAUUAGAUACCCUGGUAGUCCACACUGUAAACGAUGAAUGCUAGGUGUAGGGGGUAUCGACCCCUUCUGUGCCGCAGUCAACACAAUAAGCAUUCCGCCUGGGGAGUACGGCCGCAAGGUUGAAACUCAAAUGAAUUGACGGGG
rnacentral:rRNA from 1 species